rnacentral:lncRNA from 1 species
GUCUUUAAGGUUGGUGUAAUCCACGCAUACUCUUUAUUUGCCCUUCUCUUUCAUCACCAGCAUGACAUUGGCUAGCCAUGCUGAGUGCACCACUUCUUCAAUGAAUUCGGCCUUUAAUAGCUUGUUGAUCUCUGUCUUAAUAUCACUACUCGCUUGGUUAUGAAAUGUCACAUUUCCUAGAUCAUAGGUUUGGCAGAAAGAUCGACAUGUAGCUUGUAACGAGGUAUUGUUGGAUCAAUGUUGAGCAUGUUAGAGGGUGACCAUGCGAAAACGUCAUGAUUUUCCUUGAGGAAAGCCAUGGGUUCCUCUUUCUCAAUCAAGCUUCAUCGUGAGCCAAUCCUAGUCAUCUUAUUUGGUUGGUGGGGGUAAAAUAUGAUGUAUUAUGUGUCCUCUUCAGGUUUCCCUCAUCUGCCAGGGCAUUGUUGACCUUGACGCCAUCUUUUUGAUUUGUCUACUAUGAUUACUACUUGGUGGAGGUAUAAUCGUCUUUCUGCACUUCUACUGCUACUUCUGGGGCAACAAACUUCUUCUUCGUCUCCUUGAAAACUUGCAUAGUAUAUUACCAAGACAUGGCUUGGUCACCUUUAAUCUCCGACUACUCCUCUGGAUGUGAAAUCAAAUUUUCUAAUACUCGAUCGAGGUCACAGCUGCAAUCUUCACUAGCCUAGGUAGGCCCAAAAUCCCGUGGGGAGAUGGGUCGCUGACGAUCAUGAAGGUCUGCGAUAAGAUAAUAUGGAGGGCUAGUUACGUUAAGCGUCAUUAUGCCAAUGGUAGUUGAGGUAAGUCUAUUGAAUCAAGUGAAGACCUCUACAUUCCAAGCCUAUCUUCUGGAUGACUAACAAUUGUAAAAUAUUGAAUGAGUUGUUGUUGUCCACCAUAAUUUUGUCAAUGAUGGUGUGGGCCAGUUUAACAGAAAUCACCAAGGCAUCGUCAUGGGGAAAGUCUACUCCCUCAGCGUCCUGCUCAGUGAAGCCAAUGAUUGGUCCAGGUAUAGCAUCUAUGGCUUGAGCCUGAAAGAUUGAUCUCACUUGCUGGAUCUUUCUCUUCUCGGAACUGUUACGCUAGAAACAAUAAGGUUUUCCUUCUCAUUGUCUUAUAAAUGGUCACGUGACUAAUGGGAGGAUAAGGGCAAAGCUCUUAUGAAUGCAAUUCCUCUCUCUUUUAUCAUCCUGCAUAAAAUUUAAAUGAUAGAAAUGUACUACAUAAUCCAGUUGCACAUGUAACAACUCUUAAUAUGCCAACAGACAAAUGACAUAAUAAUUAGAGCAAGCGAUCAAUGACAAUCAAAACAUUUUCCAAAUUCACUUGACUAGCAAUUAUAGAAUUUUAAUAUGAUUUUUUCCAUCUCAUUAAUAUAGCCACAAAACACAAAGAACAUGUGUUGAUGCACAAAACCGGAUGUCUUGGUACAACGUAAAUCCGACCGUGAAUCUGCAAGUAAUGUAAAUAACACAAGAUGUAUCGUGGUUCACCCCAAGGUUUGGGCUACGUCCACACUGAUUGUAUUGUAUUUCUCUGUUGAAGAGGGAGAGAGAGAGCUUAGAGCUUAGGGGGUGUGAGGAAGCUUGGGAAUGGCCUCUCCCAAUUGUGAGGAUGAGGAGUCCUUUUAUAGAAUAAGGACUCCUCACUUAUUACAUAUUUGCCCCUUCCCUUAUUGCAUAAUUACAUUUGAGUCCCCUGAGUAUUUAUACGAGGUCUAAAUACGGAGGCCCUAAAUAUGGUAUAAACAGUAGUCCCCCAAGUCUUCAGUCAAGAGAGUCUUUUGGAUGGAGACUUGAAAUUCAGUCCAUGUGUGGGCCGAAGUAACUAGAUACUGUCUUGAACUGAUGCUCGAUAUAAGGCAGUGCUUAAUCUGAAAUGACGCUCAACUAGAAGUAGCACACGCUGCUCGGCUG